rnacentral:lncRNA from 1 species
GGAAAAUACACCGACACUUUGCUAUUCAAAGUGUGUGGUCCGUGGACCAGCAACAGCAGCCUCCCUGGGAGCGCGUUAGAAAUACAGACGCCAGGCCCCAGGCCAGACCGACCCCAUCAGGACCCGCAGUCCAGCGAGACCCCCGGGCGUUUCCCACGGACACUGAUGCACGCGGCUCUAAAUCUCGCUUGGGAACAAAUCCUUUCAACAGGAGGCGUCACAGAAGCGCCGCAGAAAGAGCGAGGGCGAGCCCCUCAGUUCGCAUCCUCAGCCUCACGGCGUCAGCAGAAUGGAGGGGCAGGCGUCUCAGUCCGUCUGUUGACCAAGAUUACUCGUGCUUGGAACCAAAGAAUCCUUAUUACGAAAGAAUUUACAACCAGAUGUGAUGUUGAGGAUAAAGGACAGUUAAACGCCAAGUCCAGGAAGCUUUCUCUUGACCCCCUCACUGGCAGUCCUGUGUCCCUCCCUGGAAGUCCUGCAGGACCUUUUCCUACCUCUACCAUGGACAACACUUACUGUUCACUAAAAUCCUGACCCUUGGUUAUUUGCCAUCAUGCCUUGACCUUCGAGCAUUUGUGCAUCUACGCCUCCUCUGAGAGCUAGCCCUCCUACCAACAGAGGUGGACCCAGCAACUUUAUUUGUACUACAUGACCCCACCUUCCUGGCCAUAGCUGAUUGUGCCAUUGGUGGACUUCUGCCUCUGGUUGGGCAAAGUCAGUUUUCUCUCCCAGGAUUCAGAAUUGGGACCUGGAGAAGCAAAUGAGUUUUUGCUGGCUCUUCAGCUAAAAAGAUAUUUGGAAUCAAAGGACACUAUCAAGAGAGUGAAAAGGCAACCCACAGAAUGGAAGAAAAUAGAUACAAACCAUAUAUCUUAUAGGGGUCUAGUAUGCAUAAUACAUAAAGAACUCUUACAAUUCAACAACAGAAAGACAAACAACCCAAUUUAAAAAUGAGCAAAGGAUUUUCACAGACAUUUCUCCAAAGAAGAUAUACAAAUGGCCAGCAAGCACAUGAAAAGAUGCUCAACAUCAUUAGUCAUGAAGGAAAUGCAGCUCAAAACCACAAUGAGACACUACUUCACACCCACUAGGUUGGCCAUAAUAAAAAAAUGGAAAAUAAGCUUUGGAAAGGAUGU